rnacentral:rRNA from 1 species
UACGUAGGGUGCAAGCGUUAAUCGGAAUUACUGGGCGUAAAGCGUGCGCAGGCGGCUUUGCAAGACAGAUGUGAAAUCCCCGGGCUCAACCUGGGAACUGCAUUUGUGACUGCAUGGCUAGAGUACGGUAGAGGGGGAUGGAAUUCCGCGUGUAGCAGUGAAAUGCGUAGAUAUGCGGAGGAACACCGAUGGCGAAGGCAAUCCCCUGGACCUGUACUGACGCUCAUGCACGAAAGGCGUGGGGAGCAAACGAGG